rnacentral:rRNA from 1 species
CCUACGGGAGGCAGCAGUGAGGAAUAUUGGUCAAUGGACGAGAGUCUGAACCAGCCAAGUAGCGUGAAGGAUGACUGCCCUAUGGGUUGUAAACUUCUUUUAUAUGGGAAUAAAAUGUUCCACGUGUGGGAUUUUGUAUGUACCCUAUGAAUAAGGAUCGGCUAACUCCGUGCCAGCAGCCGCGGUAAUACGGAGGAUCCGAGCGUUAUCCGGAUUUAUUGGGUUUAAAGGGAGCGUAGGUGGAUUGUUAAGUCAGUUGUGAAAGUUUGCGGCUCAACCGUAAAAUUGCAGUUGAAACUGGCAGUCUGGAGUACAGUAGAGGUGGGCGGAAUUCGUGGUGUAGCGGUGAAAUGCUUAGAUAUCACGAAGAACUCCGAUUGCGAAGGCAGCUCACUGGACUGCAACUGACACUGAGGCUCGAAAGUGUGGGUAUCAAACAGGAUUAGAUACCCGAGUAGUC